UAUCACCUGGGCUCAAGAUUUCUUAAAGAGAGCGAAAGUUUCUGUGUAAAAGCAAUCAAAGUUAUUUUGUGCAGUUCGGCGACAACUAAAAACAACAACAACAAAACAAAGUAAUAAUAAUAAUAGCAGUGCUGUUCUUGACUGGACGUGAACAGACAUGAUAUAAUUUAGUGUAUUAAAAGCUAACCUCACUUUUCCCUAACCUUUGUGAUAUUU